UCCUUCCUUCCUUCCUUUGCCAAUCCCAGCAGUACCAGCUCCGACCACCGAUCAGUCAAACCACCACCACAAAACGGUCCUUCAUAAAAAAAAGCCGAUCUUAUCUAUGUAGAAAUCGGAGACUUGCGCCACCUUUAAGCAUCUCCGCCAUCACCAACCCAGCUUCUACCCUUCAUUUCGGCGAUUCCUCGCCACACCGUCACCUUCGCUCAACCUCAGAGAUGAAGGAGGGUGCAGCGCUGAAGCCUAUACAUCCAUUGAGGCUUAGAGAUCGAGCUAGCAACAUCACCGGAGGGCUAAGCUCAGUCUCCCUUCGAUCUCCCACUUCCGGUGACAAGCAGGCCUCCUCACUACCAGAAUCAGAGUUAGAACCCCUCAAUUACUCGAAUCCUAAGUGCGCCUUCGAAUUUGGCCAUCACCGCCGCUGCCGCCUCUUGUGACGGCUAGGUUUCCAGAAACGUCUCCAAUGGACGAUUUGAGGAAGUUUUGAGAUGGAUUACGUAACCAGGAAUGCACAUAUUGAGGAAGAGGAACUGCUGGUUUGAUUUCCAUAUUGAAUGGAUUAAGGUACUGACUUUGUCUAAGGACAGCAACAGCAAGAGGUUCGCUCACUGAAUUUGGAAAAGAGAAAAAGAAAUGGUAUGGACUUGGUGAUUUUGGACAAUUUACACUUGAAUUAAGCAUGUUUUUGGAUAAUUGGUGUGUACAACUUGUUGUAAAGGCCGAGAUGAAUACAUAAAAUUUCUGGAAUUUCCCAUGCUUAGAAAUUCUCUGUGUGGGCAUGCUCAUAAUGUGAAUUUUUGGCGAUCAAUCAUGUACUA